CAAUAGCGUAUAUUUAAGUUGUUGCAGUUAGAAAGCUCGUAGUUGGAUUUUGGGUCGGGGGCACCGGUCCGCCGUUCCGGUGUGCACUGGUGGCCCCUUCCUUUCUGCCGGGGACGUGCGUCGCACUUAAUUGGGUGGCGUUCGGAGUCGGCGUUGUUACUUUGAAAAAAUUAGAGUGUUCAAAGCAAGCCAUCGCUCUGAAUACAUUAGCAUGGAAUAACAUGAUAGGACUCCGGUCUUAUUUUGUUGGUUUCCGAGACUGGAGUAAUGAUUAAGAGGGACAGUCGGGGGCAUCCGUAUUUCAUUGUCAGAGGUGAAAUUCUUGGAUUUAUGAAAGACGAACUUCUGCGAAAGCAUUUGCCAAGGAUGUUUUCAUUAA
rnacentral:rRNA from 1 species